rnacentral:rRNA from 1 species
AACGAACGCUGGCAGCAUGUCUAACACAUGCAAGUCGAACGAGACCUUCGGGUCUAGUGGCGCACGGGUGCGUAACGCGUGGGAACCUGCCCUUAGGUUCGGAAUAACUCCCCGAAAGGGGUGCUAAUACCGGAUAAUGUCUUCGGACCAAAGAUUUAUCGCCUUUGGAUGGGCCCGCGUUGGAUUAGCUAGUUGGUAGGGUAAAAGCCUACCAAGGCGACGAUCCAUAGCUGGUCUGAGAGGAUGAUCAGCCACACUGGGACUGAGACACGGCCCAGACUCCUACGGGAAGCAGCAGUGGGGAAUAUUGGACAAUGGGCGAAAGCCUGAUCCAGCAAUGCCGCGUGAGUGAUGAAGGCCUUAGGGUUGUAAAGCUCUUUUACCCGGGAUGAUAAUGACAGUACCGGGAGAAUAAGCUCCGGCUAACUCCGUG